rnacentral:rRNA from 1 species
AUUGAACGCUGGCGGCAGGCCUAACACAUGCAAGUCGAACGAGUGGCGGACGGGUGAGUAAUGUCUGGGAAACUGCCUGAUGGAGGGGGAUAACUACUGGAAACGGUAGCUAAUACCGCAUACCAUCGGAUGUGCCCAGAUGGGAUUAGCUAGUAGGUGGGGUAAAGGCUCACCUAGGCGACGAUCCCUAGCUGGUCUGAGAGGAGGACCAGCACAACUGGAACUGAGCCACGGUCCAGACUCCUACGGGAGGCAGCAGUGGGGAAUAUGGCACAAGGGGCGCAAGCCUGAUGCAGCCAUGCCGGGUGUAUGAAGAAGGCCUUCGGGUUGUAAAGUACUUUCAGCGGGGAGGCGGUACCCGCAGAAGAAGCACCGGCUAACUCCGUGCCAGCAGCCGCGGUAAUAC